rnacentral:lncRNA from 1 species
UCAGACAUGAUUCCUGAAAAAUAAAAUUUAAAGAUAAAAGGGAUAGACAUUGUUUCAAAAAUAUCUUAUUAAAUAUAAGACUGUUUGACAGAAACAUUUUUAAUAUUAAGUUAUCAAUAUGUCAGAUACAGAGAUGACAUAUUAACGGAGAACCAACCAACGACAACUUGUACAUGUAAUAGAAUGAGUAGAACCACGUAAGUAUUUGAUAUCAAACUUGAUAAAUUUACACAUAAACAUUAACAAUUUAAAAAGAAUACAUUUUAUUCAUCUUACUAAACGAAAUUGCUCUUGUUCAGAGAAAAUGGACCUAAACCUUAUCACCCAAACAUACAAUGUAUAAAUGUACUAAAAAAGCAUAGAAGACUAACAAUUGCCAGAGGUCCUAGACUUACGACACAGGCAAACAUGAGGUAGUUUUAAACAUUUUUUGGGAGACCUCAGCACGAGUUAUUUAACUCUAGAUACUGUUCAAUAAACAAAUACAAACCCAACGGGACUGUUUAACGCAGUUUAGAAGAAUACAAAAUUGAGAAUGGAAAUGGGGAACUUGUCAAAGAGACAACAAGUCUGAAUCAGAUCUUAUUUGGGACAGGCACAUACAUGAAAAUCAACCUUUCCAACAUUCUGUGACAGUCCAACAUACAACUUUUAAACCUAACUUGAAACGAUUGAUUCAUCGGAUCGACACGAAGCUCAAUUACAAUGCAUACAAAGACUUAGCAUGAAUUCGUAUGCUCUGAUAUGUUGCAAUCAGAUGAAAAUGGAGGAACGUCAUCCUACGUGGUUGUACUUGAUACGAAUAAUACAUAAAAAAAACAUUAAAAGGAUACUACUGAACAUUAGUAUGCAGAAUACAUAAAGAUUUGAUUAAAAUGAUUCGUAUUUUCACUUUUCAUUUGUAAUGAAAAUAUCAAGCCUACAAUCUUGCAUAAAGACAAGUAUACUAAUAAUCUCAUCGAAGAUACCAGGACUACAUAUUUAUAUUUACGCCAGACGCAUGUUUUGUCUUCAAACAACUCAUCAAUGACGCUCGAAUAUUUCAAUGUUUAAAAGGCCAAAUAGAGUAUGAAGUUGACGAGCAUUAAGGACAAACAAUCCCUUAAAGUUUCGCCAAAUACAGUAAGUUAAUCUAUUCCUGAGGUAACGCAAUACAUAAAAUUGUGAUGCAUAUGUUCGAAACUGUUCCAUAAAUUGAUAUGUCAGAUUUUGUUCUUGGUAGAUGUAUCAAAAUUGUCUAGAACACAACAAUUUAUGUCCGAAUGUAUGCGAACGUUGCAAAAGAAGUGUAGUAACAUGCUUGCGGAGUCGAAUGACCCCUUAUUCUUGUAUAAAAGGUGACUGUGACCUUGAGGCAAACUUGGUCCCGCUCUCUUCAAAGAAUGUGCAUUUACAUCAUUUGUCGUUUAGUUAUCUUGAUCAUUUAUGAAAUUUGAAAAUCAGUUUAACUAAUUUUUGUUUAAGCCUAUAACCUGUCUCCUUGCAGUUGUUGAUCAUUCCAAAGGCGGUUCGAGUUGAUAUUUAAUGUUUCCGUAUAUAAGUAAUGAGUAAUACCAGAGAAACACUUAAAGCUAGCAACCUUACAGUUACUUAUUCAAUGGUACCGACCGAAAAUGUAUUAGCAAUUAAGAGGUUGAAAACAGCAUUGUAUCCGUGAUGCUAACUAUCUUAUUCAUAUAUUGCUCAUCUUGUUAUAUAUGAAAUUACACCUUUAUGAAAAGUUGUUCUAAAAAAAUUACCUCGAUUUUGAAAUAUAAACAGAUAAAUGACUAUUUAUUUGUCCAAAAUAGAAUGCCAAGAUUUAGACGAUAAACUAGAACUACAAUUGUACACAUAUCAUUGAAUACUACAUUAACGCAACAUCCAUUUUAUUUUCAGCAAUGUCUUUAAUGUGAAUAUAGUAAGCAGUCAAGUAUCAUUCAAUGAAAACACAGAACAAGAAAUGAGAAGCUUAAUUGCUGGAAAUGGUCAGCAUCCUGCAAUUGAAGAGGAC